rnacentral:lncRNA from 1 species
AAUAUACACCUUACAGGUGGAUGACCUCCAGGUAGAAUAUACACCUUACAGGUGAAUGACCUCCAGGUAGAAUAUACACCUUACAGGUGAAUGAUCUCCAGGUAGAAUAUAAACCUUACAGGUGAAUGAUCUCCAGGUAGAAUAUAAACCUUACAGGUGGCUGACCUCCAGGUAGAAUAUACACCUUACAGGUGAAUGACCUCCAGGUAGAAUAUAAACCUUACAGGUGAAUGACCUCCAGGUAGAAUAUAAACCUUACAGGUGAAUGACCUCCAGGUAGAAUAUAAACCUUACAGGUGAAUGACCUCCAGGUAGAAUAUAAACCUUACAGGUGAAUGACCUCCAGGUAGAAUAUACACCUUACAGGUGGAUGACCUCCAGGUAGAAUAUACACCUUACAGGUGAAUGACCUCCAGGUAGAAUAUACACCUUACAGGUGAAUGACCUCCAGGUAGAAUAUACACCUUACAGGUGAAUGACCUCCAGGUAGAAUAUAAACCUUACAGGUGAAUGACCUCCAGGUAGAAUAUACACCUUACAGGUGAAUGACCUCCAGGAACAGGGGUAGAAUAUACACAUUACAGGUGAAUGACCUCCAGGAACAGGGGUAGAAUAUAUACCUUACAGGUGAAUGACCUCCAGGUAGAAUAUAAACCUUACAGGUGAAUGACCUCCAGGUAGAAUAUACACCUUACAGGUGGAUGACCUCCAGGAACAGGGGUAGAAUAUACACCUUACAGGUGAAUGACCUCCAGGUAGAAUAUACACCUUACAGGUGGAUGACCUCCAGGUAGAAUAUACACCUUACAGGUGAAUGACCUCCAGGUAGAAUAUACACCUUACAGGUGAAUGAUCUCCAGGUAGAAUAUAAACCUUACAGGUGGAUGACCUCCAGGUAGAAUA